CGUGUAGGCGGGAGUGCAAGUCUGAUGUGAAAGCCCCGGGCUUAACCUGGGAAGUGCAUUGGAAACUGCAUUUCUUGAGUGCUGGAGAGGAAGGGGGAAUUCCCGGUGUAGAGGUGAAAUUCGUAGAGAUCGGGAGGAAUACCAGUGGCGAAGGCGCCCUUCUGGACGGCAACUGACGCUGAGACGCGAAAGCGUGGGGAGCAAACA
rnacentral:rRNA from 1 species